AUCUUUCUUUCCAUCUGAACCGCACAUUCCUUCCUUUCUCUCCUCUUCUCCACGUCUCUCAAUCUCUCUCCUACCAUCCAUCCCCUUUCCUCUUCGAAUCGAAACUGAAACCCUAGAGCUGCACUCCCGCUUCCACCAAUGGCGAUUCCUCUGCUUUGCCAUCUUCUUUGGUCGCUUUGAUCCCUCUCCGGCGAUAACUUAGGGUUUGACUACCUUGCUAUCAUUCGAUCAUCCAUCAACUCUCGAAAAUGACGGAACCAUCGUCCAAAUGAAAACCACAUCGUCCACACCAGGCGUUUAGGGUAAUAUGAAUCAGAGAUUGGCCAAACAAGUUGCACUUUGCUCUAUGAUCUAUCUCACUCCUAAAAGCAUCUAGACGGAUUUCCUUUCUCUCAUCGCAUUCGUUCUCAACAUUUGGAUCUAGCUCGAAAAACUCAGGGUUUCCACUGGUUCUCAUCGGAUUCGUUCUCAAACUCGAAAAAGUUAGGGUUCCUAAAAAGGUAGGGUUGCAGAACGAUCAUCGGCAACAUGAGCAACAAAAUUUUGAAUCACAGAACCAUAAUUCGCAACAACAACAGAAUUUGCAGCAACAUCAGCGAAAUUUGCAGCAGUUUCAGCGUCAAUUGCAGGAAGUCCAAUUUUGUUGAAUUCAGGAAAUUUCUGAAUGAAUCGCAGAGUUUACUUGGUGGAUUUGCAUGCACAGCAUGGUAUUGAUGUAACCGAGAUUUCUGAGGAUAGUCAAGACGAUCUUGAGGGAUUGGAUGCUUCAGUAGCACAUAUUGCAAAUCUGUUGUCAACAGAACCUGCUGAUGGAUUCCACACAUUUUUAGUGAUUCAGUUCAAAUCGGUUUGGAAAGCAUUCCCUGAUCUGAUCUCGAAUGACUCUUCUCCAAGUACGGCAGAGUUGAACGUGUUGAUAUGAAAUCUGGCUGCUUCUUCUCUUCUACAUCUGGAUUGUUGAGGAAGAAUAACAGAGUGUAUGGCUGAAAACUCAUCAUUUGGCAAGAAAUUUCUUUGGAUCUGGCUAGGUAAUUGCUCAUUGCUAUUUUCGAAUCUCUACCGGGAAAUAUUAUUAGUUCUGAAACUGGCGAGGAACAUACAAAUGAUCAUCACAGUGCUGAAAAAUUGACAAACUUAGGUCAGAACUUAUCCAAUUUCGUAUGUCCCACAGGACAAAAUUGCACUUCCAGCAAAUGGGCAUCCAUGAACAACAGUUGAAAUAAUGUGUGUUGUAUCUUGUGAUAAAAAGGGCUUCUUAAGUUCAUUGUGUAUUACUUCGGCACUCUUUAGCCAAGUCUUAGAACUGUGAUCAACAAACAUGUCAUUGGAUGUAAUUUCUGAAUUUUGUGUGAUAUGAUGAAAUAUGUAUAAAAGCAAACGGUUUGAGUUUGUCUCAUUCAGUUCUUAAAAUCAGAUAGUGCUUUUAUGGAUUUGGAUCUAGAGUUCCUUAUUACUCUAGGGUUCAUAUUUUUUUUCUUGGAGAUGAUGUAACAUUUCACGUAUUUUAAUAAGGGAAAAAGAAUGCGUUCUUUC